GAGGUUUUGGCUUUUGCCGCUGGUCCCUGAUAAAGACCCUCAGAAACUGUACAAUCAUGUGUUUGUAAUGUCUGAGCAUGUUCAUGAACACGGGACAUACAUGUAAAAAGGCCACACUGUUGGCAUGUCGUCUUUAAGCUAAGCUCUUCUGUGGGACAGUUUCUCCACUGAAAUAGAAACAGAAAUGUGCAGUUUUUGGCAGCAUCUCUUCCUCUUGGAUCUUGACGAACCUGGACGUUUAAACUGGAACCUUCAUCGACUGAAACAGAAAGAUCCUUUAACGAUGCAAAGCUUCAGUAAACCGAGUUAUUUGGUCCAUGUUUCCUAAAUAAACUCAUUAACUGUUACCUGCCGUCCCCUGAUCAGGGGUUAUGAUCAGGUUUCACUCACACAGAUCUUACAGAGUUUUAGAAACUAGAAGGUCUUGGCUUUCAAAUGAGGAUCACACUGGCAUAAGGUCCAGUCACUUUGUGAUUUGGAUAUAGAUAAUUGCAAACCCUAAAGUGGCAGGUAACAGGUUAAACGGAUAAACUUCACUGCUCUGUUUCCAACGUCGCGGAAACAUGAAGCUAGUGCAGAAACGUCAUUGUAUUUACCACGAACAAAACAAAUACUUAUUACAUAUUUAUUACUAUAUUUUAUAAUAUUACAGUGAAAUUUCUCUGUAAACGAACUCUGACGCUCCAACAUGAGCGAUGUCUCCGAUGUAUCUGACCUGAAACUGGAGGUACUGCGUGUACUGGAGGUACUGCGUGUACUGGAGGUACUGUGUGUACUGGAGGUACUGUGUGUACUGGAGGUACUGCGUGUCCUCAUGGUGCUGGGGUAAAAUAUCCUUUUGCAAAAUAUCGCGAUACGUCUUUUUUGUGAUACACGUAUCGAAUCCGAAGACUUUUCAUUCUCAGCUCUAGAAAAUAAAAACACAAAUGAUUUUAAAGUCGAUCUGGUUCAAACUAAAAACUUUAAAAUGUCUCUUUUAAUUAACCUUUGGAAACUCGGCCUGAGCUUCUUCAGUUCAUUCAGGGUCAAAUAUUCCGUAAUAAUGACAUGUAUCAGACCUCAGUAUCGUAUCAGACCUCAGUAUCGUAUCGGCCUCAGUAUCGUAUCGGCCUCAGUAUCGUAUCGGCCUCAGUAUCGUAUCGGCCUCAGUAUGGUAUCGGCCUCAGUAUGGUAUCAGACCUCAGUAUGGUAUCAGACCUCAGUAUGGUAUCGGCCUCAGUAUCGUAUCGGCCUCAGUAUGGUAUCGGCCUCAGUAUCGUAUCGGCCUCAGUAUGGUAUCGGCCUCAGUAUCGUAUCAGACCUCAGUAUGGUAUCGGCCUCAGUAUCGUAUCGGCCUCAGUAUGGUAUCGGCCUCAGUAUCGUAUCGGCCUCAGUAUCGUAUCGGCCUCAGUAUGGUAUCGGCCUCAGUAUCGUAUCAGACCUCAGUAUGGUAUCAGACCUCAGUAUGGUAUCGGCCUCAGUAUCGUAUCGGCCUCAGUAUGGUAUCAGACCUCAGUAUGGUAUCAGACCUCAGUAUGGUAUCAGACCUCAGUAUGGUAUCGGCCUCAGUAUGGUAUCAGACCUCAGUAUGGUAUCAGACCUCAGUAUGGUAUCGGCCUCAGUAUCGUAUCGCCUCAGUAUCAUAUCGGCCUCAGUAUCAUAUCGGCCUCAGUAUCAUAUCGGCCUCAGUAUCAUAUCGGCCUCAGUAUCGUAUCGGCCUCAGUAUCGUAUCGGCCUCAGUAUCAUAUCGGCCUCAGUAUCGUAUCGGCCUCAGUAUCUCACAGUCCAGGGUAACCUGAUCAAGGACUUCUCUCGUCUGGAGAGUUUGGGAUGAUUUGUUUUGUGUUUGUCGCCUCUUGUGUGUUAUUGUGGUGAAGCUGCUGUGUGUGCUGCAGAAUAAAAAGUGUUAUUUUCAAAUCUGACAAUAAACAUGUUUUUGAG
rnacentral:lncRNA from 1 species